UCGGAAGUGGACUGAUUUAGUUUGUCUUAUACCAAUUUAUAAGACCGGAUUGCAACCACAUAAAAAAGUGCUAAACCCGUGCUC
rfam:Mucilaginibacter polytrichastri strain RG4-7 Scaffold1, whole genome shotgun sequence.